UAGAGCGGCGGAGGGGUGAGUAACGCGUAGGAGUCUACCUAGUAGAAGGGGAUAGCCCGGGGAAACUCGGAUUAAUACCGUAUACCUCCUUAGGGAGAAAGAGGGCCUCUCUUGAAGCUCUCGCUAUUAGAUGAGCCUGCGUAAGAUUAGCUUGUUGGUAAGGUAAUGGCUUACCAAGGCUACGAUCUUUAGCUGGUCUGAGAGGACGAUCAGCCACAUUGGGACUGAGACACGGCCCAGACUCCUACGGGAGGCAGCAGUGGGGAAUAUUGGACAAUGGGCGCAAGCCUGAUCCAGCCAUACCGCGUGUGUGAAGAAGGCCUUAGGGUUGUAAAGCACUUUAAGCAGGGAGAAAAAGCUAUAGGUUAAUACCCUACAGCCUUGAUGUUACCUGCAGAAUAAGCACCGGCUAAUUCCGUGCCAGCAGCCGCGGUAAUACGGAAGGUGCAAGCGUUAAUCGGAAUUACUGGGCGUAAAGCGCGCGUAGGUGGUUUGUUAAGUUGGAUGUGAAAGCCCUGGGCUCAACCUAGGAACUGCAUCCAAAACUAGAUGACUAGAGUACGAAAGAGGGAAGUAGAAUUCACAGUGUAGCGGUGGAAUGCGUAGAUAUUGUGAAGAAUACCAAUGGCGAAGGCAGCUUCCUGGUUCUGUACUGACACUGAGGUGCGAAAGCGUGGGUAGCGAACAGGAUUAGAUACCCUGGUAGUCCACGCCGUAAACGAUGACAACUAGCUGUUGGGAGACAAGAUCUCUCAGUGGCGCAGCUAACGCUUUAAGUUGUCCGCCUGGGGAGUACGGCCGCAAGGUUAAAACUCAAAUGAAUUGACGGGGACCCGCACAAGCGGUGGAGCAUGUGGUUUAAUUCGAUGCAACGCGAAAAACCUUACCUACUCUUGACAUACUUGGAAGCUCUUGUAAUGAGAGUGUGCUUUUAGAGCCAAGAUACAGGUGCUGCAUGGCUGUCGUCAGCUCGUGUCGUGAGAUGUUGGGUUAAGUCCCAUAACGAGCGCAACCCUUACCCUUAUUUGCCAGCGGUUCGGCCGGGAACUAUAAGGGGACUGCCGGUGACAAACCGGAGGAAGGUGAGGACGACGUCAAGUCAUCAUGGCCCUUACGAGUAGGGCUACACACGUGCUACAAUGGCACUUACAAUGGGAAGCGAAGAGGCGACUCUUAGCUAAUCCCUAAAAUGUGCCUCAGUUCGGAUUGUACUCUGUAACUCGAGUGCAUGAAGCUGGAAUUGCUAGUAAUCGCGGAUCAGCGCGCCGCGGUGAAUACGUUCCCGGGUCUUGUACACACCGCCCGUCACACCAUGGAAGUUGGUUACACCUUAAGGCAAAGCUAAUACCUUUGACUACGGUACGAUCAGCAACUGGGGUGAAGUCAUAACAAGGUAGCCGUA
rnacentral:rRNA from 1 species